rfam:Vibrio tubiashii ATCC 19109 chromosome 1, complete sequence.
UUUGACACGACAUUGCUCACAUUGCUUCCAGUGUAAUUUAUAGCUUUAUGGCAAAGCACCUCAUUC